CUGCAGUGCGUUACGCAUUCUGUGCAACAGUGCCUUUUUAGCUCCCAACAACCCCUUUGUGAGUUGAUUGUUAAAGAGGGUAAAUUUGUACAGUUAAUAUUUAAUGCACAAAUUUGUAAGUCGGGUUGCUGUUUGGGUUAGCUUUACUAAGGUAAUGUUGUUGUAGUGUUUGUUCAUUUAAAACUAAAAUCCUUUCCAAGCACAGACCUGACACUGCAAAUGCAGGCCUAUGGAUCCGCCUCAGUUUGACACUUAACAAAAUAAUAUUCAUGCACUCAGUUCUGACAGUUAUGUAACAGAUUUGCAAAAAAAAAAACUCUAGAGUUUAAAACAGAAAGAUAUUUUUUAAAAGAAUGUAAGUUAAGUUGCUGUAGCUAAGACUUUUCUAAAAGUUGGGGUUUACCUGGAUCUUGUCACAGCCACAAUGGUGCAUUCUUUGAUCCAGGUGUCCAGGUGAUUGGUGCUUCUGGAAGAACGAAAAUGCAUGAGAACCUGCUGUUUACUUUCUUCUACCUGCGCCUGUAAACACUCAAAGACCAAGCGCAUCACUGUUGAUAUUUCUACCUGGCAGUGUUGAAGUAAACUGACAUUUGACAGCAUUAUGCCUCACGUGAUUAUUUCUUGGGGUGAGAGAUAGAGAGUGAAAGUGUGUGUUGAGGAAGUGGGGAUAAAGAACAAUGUUUAUUUCUGAGUCCUACAGUUCCAACAGUCAGUAUCCUUGUACAAUGUUCAGCACUCUGAAUACUGAACACAAGUGGUAUUGCAUGUUGAAACCCCUCACUUAAGUUAACAUGAAGAACACCAUGCGUAUCCAUCCCUCCCGUGCUGAGGCAAACUCAGUGAACACAGCUAUGGGCUGCUGAUUGGCUUCUCCACUGUCUGGUGAAGCCAUUUUUCUCAGCGCAGUGAUGCCCCAUACUGCCAGAAAAUAUAUGCCUUUCCAAGUUUGGGUUAGCCUAUCAUAGGACAAAUACCCAACACAGUUCAAUAUAACAAUUUUUGUUUGCAUACUAGCACCUUUUACCAAAAGCAGCCCCAGGUGCUUCACACAAACAAAAGGACCAGGGCAUAAUAAUAGUAAUAAUCAUUAAUGAAGUCAAAAGAAUAAUUAUGAAUUUGGGAGAAGAACUACAAACAAUGUUUUAACAGCAAGAGAUAAUGUAGUGACUAAAAUUAAUGCAAACAACAGCUCUUAUUGGCUAAUAAGUGUUCCAGGCAUAUUUACCAUUUUGUUAAUUUACCCAAUUUUUAUGAUACAUUUUCAAUUGUAGAAAUUAAGAUGUUUUGAUUAACCAGUUUGUUUAUGCCAUACAUAUUGUUUCUUUUAAUACAGAGAGAAAAGCUACCACAUGUAUAGUAAGUGCCUAUUCAGUGAAAUUAAAAUUAAGUUUUUUUUUUUUUUUACCAAAAUGAAUGGGCAUUAGUGCCAUUUCUGCUUCUUUUUAUUGCAAUCAAAGUAAAAAAUCAUAUGUACAAAUUACAGAACAAAAACAAAGAUGUUCUAGUAAAUGGAUACCAAGAACAAGGCUUAGAAAUAAAAUGAACAAAAAACAGAGUAUGCUAAGUAAGUGUAGCAGGGCAGAUGGCUAACUGAAACAGGUUUGAUGUGAAUGAGAAGAAGUGUUAGAAGAACUUUUAGAAGUGUUACUUCCUCAUGCACUCUAAUUGAUGCACUCUAAUCCAGAGCGACUUGCACAACUUUUAGCAUUUUCACACAGUAUCCAUUUUUACAUCUGGAUAUGUACUGAAGGACACGGCUGUCUCUCAAGGGGGCAACAGCUGAGUAAUCCCUGGGAACUGAACACUGAAUCCAGUUCCCAAACCAUCAUACUUCAAACGCUAAACGUCAUACGUGGGAUUCCCAACAUCUUUCAACAGAUUACAAACAGAUGAUACCUGUAAUAACCUGCAUUAAUAAUUUAAGAUAAAGCCUGAUUUUCUUUGGUAAAAAACCACUUCUUAAUGUACCAAACUGUUUUCAAAUGUUUAUUGAAGUAUUCUAAAACAUAGCAAUCAGCAAGCAAUUGACAACAAUAAAACAGACACCAAUAAAAAGAAAAUCAUCAACAAAAAAAACAAAAAAACAAACAUAAACAACAGACUCUUACACACACAAUAUCCUUUGCAUUGCAAUCAUUUUCUUGGCAGGAGUUUAACCUGAUAGUAUAAUGAGUUCUUGGAAAGCUGCUUAGAAACACUGAGCCUUGAAAGAUGCAAAAUGUUUAGAUGCAAUACAUGCACUGAUGCAGGCAUUGUCACAUGAAUAAGAUCAGGCAUUGUCACCCGAAUAAGAUCAGGUAUUUUCACCUGAAUAAGAUCAGGUAUUUUCACGUGAAUAAGAUCAGGUAUUGUCACGUGAAUGAAAUUAGAAAGUUUGGCAGCAACACUCUCCCAGAACUGAGCCACAGGUGGACAUUCUCAUAUUAUAUGUAGAAAGGGCCAGAGGAUCUCUGAGUUUCUGAUGGAUUUAGUCAGCUUGUUCUGUCUUGUGAUGGCCUGUUUUAAUAGCAUUGACACUUAUUUGAUCCUCAUGUUGAGAAACCACAGGAACAGACUUGCAAAUGCAAAUGCCGCACCUUGAGUCAACUGUAGACUUGUGAGCGUUAUUUUGCCUGAACUAAUGAUGCAACACAGCUAGCCAAGAAACAGCUGAGCAGCCAAUUGUCCAAUUACUUUUGAUGCCUUAAAUGGGUGUAUACGAACAGGGCUGUAAUUCCUACAGGGAUCACCAAAUAUGGAUUUAAAUACCCUCAAAUUAAAGCCAACAGUCUGCACUUUACAUAUUCAGUGUUACAAUUCAAAUCCAAUGUGAUUGAGUGCAGAGCCUAAACAAAAAUUAUGUCACUGUGCAAAAACGGACUGCACUGUACGAAAAUGCACAAAUCAAUAAAAUAAUUAUUUCCAUCUUUACCACAUUUUCUUCAGAUAGUGAGAUGGAAAAUACAGAACCAGGAUACGUUAACUAAUUUAGGAAACAUUAGGAAACAUUGCUUUCGAAUAAAGAUGAAUUUCUGUGAGCUAUGAUAGCCAAAUAUUGUUUGCUGUAACUUUACAUUACAUUACAUUUAUUUGGCAGACGCUUUUAUUCAAAGCAACGUACAAUAAGUGCAAGUUCUCAUUUUGUCUCAUUUUGAUAUCUAUACUUUUUAACGACAGGCUUAGGUUUAGCAAGUUUUAAUUAAUGACAUAUCGAUACUGACGUGUUUUUGUGGACAUUUGUCUACAUGACGCUGCUCGCGUGUAGUGGUACGUCAUCAGCUGCAGAAACCAGAGUACAGCUGGUAGAAGACAGCAUUGUGACAUCACAAGGGUGAACAUUCCGCCAUUCAUUUAAAUUUGAUUUGUUGGGGGGAUUAAAAAAAAUACGAUAAAAGCAAGCAAACUAAUGAUCAUGCAAAACCGAUAAACAAUAGGAAUGCUGCUCUAGAGUUCUGGAUUUUAUGACCUCACAAUAGAAUAACGUGACAUCACAGCGGAGGUCAUUCCAGGUGUUUCUCGGUAUUAUUUAAAUUGAGGCAAAUUGCAAAGGAACCGACCAGUGGUUUAUGAAUUGACUUAUAAUCUUUAUCGUUCUUAAACCAACAUGGAUUAGCAUGGAUAUUGUUUCCAAGACAAACAUUGAAACCAAAAUCCGUAAGGUAGGCUGUAAUCCGUUAUUUCUAGUGACCAAUUUCCUUGCUUUUUAAAUUUAGACGGUAGAUAUUUUUGCUGAACGAUCAGAACAAAGCAUAAUGAUUUUAAAUAUUUUAGUGAUGUCUUAAAACCAUUUACAAUCGCUUGUCCGAGUGUGCUACUGCAGUUUAGGCUGUUAAUGAUAAAUGGACCUAUAAAUUGCGACAGACCAGUUGUUAUAGAUUUAUAAGAGACUCCUGAGUUUGAAUUGAGGCGGUGAAAGUUUAAAUGCGUACUAUUAAUUUUUCUCCACAGGAAUACUCCAUAAGAGUGACCACUGUGCACUGUGCCUAAAUGCAUUACCAAACAAGCCCAAUUAGCAUAUCUGGAAUUCACUCCCAACUGCCCAACUAAUCGCUAUUGAUAUUUCGUGAUGUAGUUCCAUUAUAUUUUUCUCAAAUUUUGAUUAUGAUCUUCAGUCAUAAUCGUCAGUUUAAUUACUGAAUUCCCACAUAACUGUUUUAAAGCUAUCUAUAACUGAAUAGCUAAUAACUGUUUUAAGCUAUCUAUAACUACAUUGGUGUUUUUGUUAUGUUUCUGUGUAAACCUGAUGUAGUUGUUCUUUGCAUUCGUGAAGUUCUUUUUUGUCCGUGAAUCUCUCAUGCUGUGUAUGUGAUGCCUGUCUUUAAUUGCAAAAAUACACGCUGCUUUGAAUAAAAAAACAAACAAAAAAAAAAAAAAAACAAGAAAAUAAAUUAAUAAAACUAAUAUUUUGUUUUUCCACUGAAGGAUUAUGGUGUUUUACAUGGCUCUGUGGAGUAUGUAGCAACAACAAUACUCUGCUGGAGUAGGACCAAAUAUGAAGAGCAGAAAGGGAUACUUCAGCACUUCCUGUCCUUCAAAGGAAAGGGCCAAGUCCCCACCUACAUCACCUGUGGGGACAUUAAAGACUGGAUAAUCUCGGAUGGACAAAACAUCCUUAGGGAGAGAUUUCAGACGGACAGCUGUGAGCAGCGAGAUGGCCUCAUUCACCUGGUCUGGGAGGUGAACAUGAGGCUAAAGCUGCAGGACAUGGGCAGAGAACUGGGAAUGAGUCCCAGCAGCUCAGAAGCACCUCCGCUGAGCGCCCAGGAUACCCAGCGUGCCGCUCUCGCUGACCUG